GGAGAGGUGUCCGAGCGGCCGAAGGAGCACGACUGGAAAUCGUGUACCCCGGGAAACCGGGGUCGCGGGUUCAAAUCCCGCCCUCUCCG
rnacentral:tRNA from 1 species